UUAAAAUAUUAAGGGCACACGAAGGAUGCCUAGGAAGUAAGAGCCGAUGAAGGACGUGGUAAGCUGCGAUAAGCUUGGUGGAGUUGCAAUCGAACUGUGAUGCCAAGAUUUCCGAAUGGAGAAAUCUGCUAAGAUGGAGUCUUAGCACGAAAGAGGGAACCGGGUGAACUGAAACAUCUAAGUAACCCGAGGAAAAGAAAGUAAAAACGAUCCCCUAAGUAGCGGCGAGCGAACGGGGGUGAGCCCAAACCGUAGAUGUGCCAAGGAUGCAGCCGUUGCAUCUACGGGGUAGCGGGAAGAUCGUCUGAAGAACUGCAAGGUAUUCGACAUUAUGAUACGCCGAACUGGAAAGGUCUGGAAAGGCCUGCCGUAGAGAGUGAAAGCCUCGUACAGGUAAACCGUAUCAAAUGUAUGAUCUCUCCCAAGUAGCACGGAACACGAGGAAUUCUGUGUGAAUCUGCGAGGACCAUAUCUCGUAAGGCUAAAUACUCUUACUUACCGAUAGCGCAUAGUACCGUGAGGGAAAGGUGAAAAGAACCCCGGGAGGGGAGUGAAAUAGAACCUGAAAUCGUGUGCUUACAAGCGGUCAGAGCCCUUUGGGGUGAUGGCGUGCCUUUUGGAGAAUGAUCCUGCGAGUUACGUUCAGUGGCAAGGUUAAGUUUAACGGAGCCGAAGGGAAACCGAGUCUGAAUAGGGCGACAUAGUCGCUGGGCGUAGACGCGAAACCUGGUGAUCUAAGCCUGUCCAGGGUGAAGCUGUGGUAAGACACAGUGGAGGCCCGAACUCACCGCCGUUGAAAAGUUGGGAGAUGAGGUAGGUUUAGGGGUGAAAAGCCAAUCGAACCAGGAGAUAGCUCGUUCUCUCCGAAAUGCAUUUAGGUGCAGCCUUGAGUGUUCAAUUAUGGGGGUAGAGCACUGAAUGACCUAGGGGGCAUACUGCUUACCGAAGUCAAUCAAACUCCGAAUACCAUAAUUCUAGAGCUCAGGAGUGAGACUAUGGGAAUUAACUUCCAUGGUCAAAAGGGAAACAACCCAGACCACCAGCUAAGGUCCCUAAUUAUAACUAAGUGGGAAAGGAGGUGGAGAUUCACAAACAACCAGGAGGUUGGCUUAGAAGCAGCCAUACCUUUAAAGAGUGCGUAAUAGCUCACUGGUCGAGAGUCUCUGCGCCGACAAUGUAACGGGGCUAAGUUAUAAACCGAAGCUGUGGAGUUGCGUAAGCGACUGGUAGGAGAGCGUUCUGUAGGCCGUUGAAGGAGAAUCGACAAGAGACUCUGGAGGUAUCAGAAGUGAGAAUGCAGGAAUAAGUAGCGAGAAUGGGGGCGAGAAUCCCCCACGCCGGAAGACCAAGGGUUCCAGGGUAAAGUUUGUCUCCCCUGGGUAAGCCGGGUCCUAAGCCGAGGCUAGAUUGCGUAGGCGAAUGGAAAACAGAUUAAUAUUUCUGUGCCACUGAUAUCAAGUGAUGGAGGGACGCAGGAGGUUAUGCACGCUGGCGAACGGAAGUGCCAGUUCAAGCAUGUAGCGUGGUCUAGUAGGAAAAUCCGCUAGACUAAACGUGAGGUGUGAUGAGGAGUCGUAAGAUGGAAGGUGCAAAUACCACACUGCCGAGAAAAGCUUCUAAGCGUUAUAAAGAUAUUAGUGCCCGUACCCCAAACCGACACAGGUGGUCAGGAUGAGAAAUCUAAGGCGGACAGGCUAACUCUCGUUAAGGAACUCUGCAAAAUAGCCCCGUAACUUCGGGAGAAGGGGUGCCUUUUAUGGUGAGCGUACACGCGACGCAAAGCUAUGAGAGGCCGCAGUGAAGAGUCUCAGGCGACUGUUUAACAAAAACACAGGUCUAUGCUAAGCUGUAAGGCGACGUAUAUGGGCUGACACCUGCCCAGUGCCGGAAGGUUAAGAGGAGGAGUGAGAGCUCCGAAUUGAAGCCCCGGUGAACGGCGGCCGUAACUAUAACGGUCCUAAGGUAGCGAAAUUCCUUGUCGGGUAAGUUCCGACCUGCACGAAUGGUGU
rnacentral:rRNA from 1 species